GUCCAGACUCCUACGGGAGGCAGCAGUGGGGGAUAUUGCACAAUGGGGGGAACCCUGAUGCAGCGACGCCGCGUGGGUGAAGAAGUAUUUCGGUAUGUAAAGCCCUAUCGGCAGGGAAGAAAUUGGACGGUACCUGACUAAGAAGCCCCGGCUAACUACGUGCCAGCAGCCGCGGUAAUACGUAGGGGGCAAGCGUUAUCCGGAUUCACUGGGUGUAAAGGGAGCGUAGACGGCAAUGCAAGCCAGAUGUGAAAGCCCGGGGCUCAACCCCGGGACUGCAUUUGGAACUGUGUAGCUGGAGUGUCGGAGAGGCAGGCGGAAUUCCUAGUGUAGCGGUGAAAUGCGUAGAUAUUAGGAGGAACACCAGUGGCGAAGGCGGCCUGCUGGACGAUGACUGACGUUGAGGCUCGAAAGCGUGGGGAGCAAACAGGAUUAGAUACCCCCGUA
rnacentral:rRNA from 1 species